CCUACGGGAGGCAGCAGUCGAGAAUCAUUCACAAUGGGGGAAACCCUGAUGGUGCGACGCCGCGUGGGGGAAUGAAGGUCUUCGGAUUGUAAACCCCUGUCAUGUGGGAGCAAAUUAAAAAGAUAGUACCACAAGAGGAAGAGACGGCUAACUCUGUGCCAGCAGCCGCGGUAAUACAGAGGUCUCAAGCGUUGUUCGGAAUCACUGGGCGUAAAGCGUGCGUAGGCUGUUUCGUAAGUCGUGUGUGAAAGGCGCGGGCUCAACCCGGGAACGGAACAUGAUACUGCGAGACUAGAGUAAUGGAGGGGGGACCGGAAUUCUCGGUGUAGCAGUGAAAUGCGUAGAGAUCGAGAGGAACACUCGUGGCGAAGGCGGGUUCCUGGACAUUAACUGACGCUGAGGCACGAAGGCCAGGGGAGCGAAAAGGAUUAGAUACCCUAGUAGUC
rnacentral:rRNA from 1 species